rnacentral:rRNA from 1 species
AACGAACGCUGGCGGUAUGCCUUACACAUGCAAGUCGAACGGUAGAGGGGCAACCCUUGAGAGUGGCGAACGGGUGAGUAAUACAUCGGAACGUGCCCAGUCGUGGGGGAUAACGUAGCGAAAGCUACGCUAAUACCGCAUACGACCUGAGGGUGAAAGCGGGGGAUCGCAAGACCUCGCGCGAUUGGAGCGGCCGAUGGCAGAUUAGGUAGUUGGUGGGGUAAAGGCCUACCAAGCCUGCGAUCUGUAGCUGGUCUGAGAGGACGACCAGCCAAACUGGGACUGAGACACGGCCCAGACUCCUACGGGAGGCAGCAGUGGGGAAUUUUGGACAAUGGGCGAAAGCCUGAUCCAGCCAUACCGCGUGCGGGAAGAAGGCCUUCGGGUUGUAAACCGCUUUUGUCAGGGAAGAAAUCUUCUGGGUUAAUACCUCGGGAGGAUGACGGUACCUGAAGAAUAAGCACCGGCUAACUACGUGCCAGCAGCCGCAGUAACAC